GAAAGAGUUGUGAGCUGUCCAUGCUCUUCUGAAACUUGGCUGAGAUGGUCUGGAAUGGAAUCCCAAGGCUCCUAAAACAAGAUUUUGCCUAUAGAUGGGUGCAGAAGAAUUCCUGCUGUUAUGGAAGGAUAUGAAUCUUCUGAUUCCUAAGAAAACCAGACUAAAAUUUUGUAUUAUAAAGAAUACUGAGAUAUAAAUCUUCAGUCUCUUCACCUGAAAACUAAAGGUUUGAACUCAGUCAUCUUAACCAUUCCAUUCUGCCAUAAAAUUCUAUGGGGCUGUGAGUAUAUGGUUUCUUCCUUUACACCAGAUGAAUUUCAUGGGGGUCAUCACUUUCUUAUCUUCUGAAGUUGAAUCAUUC
rnacentral:lncRNA from 1 species